rnacentral:rRNA from 1 species
GUUAGGAAUAUUGGACAAUGGGCGCAAGCCUGAUCCAGCCAUGCCGCGUGAGUGAUGAAGGCCUUCGGGUUGUAAAGCUCUUUAGUCCACGAAUAUAAUGACUGUAGUGGAAGAAUAAGCCCCGGCUAACUUCGUGCCAGCAGCCGCGGUAAUACGAAGGGGGCGAGCGUUAUUCGGAAUCACUGGGCGUAAAGCGUGCGUAGGCUGUUUUGUAAGUCAGAAGUGAAAGCCCAGGGCUUAACCCUGGAAUUGCUUUUGAAACUACAAGACUCGAAUUCGGGAGAGGAUAGCGGAAUUGUCAGUGUAGCAGUGAAAUGCGUAGAUAUUGACAGGAACACCAGUGGCGCACGCGGCUAUCUGGACCGAUAUUGACGCUGAGGCACGAAAGCGUGGGGAGCAAACAGGAUUAGAAACCCCUGUAGUCC